UAGCAUAAUCAUUAGUUCUUUAAUUGAGAACUGGCAUGAAAGGUCGGACAAGAGAAAAUCUGUCUCCAUUGUUAAAAUUAAAAUUGACUUUUAAGUGAAAAGGCUUAAAUACUUCAGGGGGACGAUAAGACCCUAUAAAACUUUAUAUAUGCAACAAUACAGUUGAAUUAAAGCAUAAAAACUUAUUCGAUAAAAUAUAUUUAGUUGGGGCGACUGAGGUAUAAUUUAUAGUAACUGAUUAAAAGCAAGACAAAUAAUAUUUGAUUAACUUUAAUUGAUCCUUUUUAAAGAUUAAAAGAUUAAGUUACUUUAGGGAUAACAGCGUAAUUUUUUCUAAGAGUCCAUAUCGAAGAAAAAGAUUGCGACCUC
rnacentral:rRNA from 1 species